ensembl:lncRNA
CUUCCACACAGGAAUUUUGAGGGCCCAUAACAGGGACCCACCCCUCUCUCCGCCCUGUCCAGUUCUUUCCACCUUGUCCGGCUGCUCCUGACAAUUGGAGGAUGAAGGAUGCUCAUGAUAUUGCAAAACUUGAUGCCCCUUUGGAAAGAGUGGGCUGUCUGCUUGGAGCCUCUGCCUUCUCUAUCCAAAUACACGCGUCCACGCAAGGUCACCUUCAUCCUUGCAAAGAGACAAGGUCCAGCUUCUAGAAGAAAAGCUCUAGAAAGCUCCCACUCUACCUUCGCAGCUACCAUGACAGUCUGACCAUGGACUUGCCCGAAAGAGACAUGCUCACUGGUGCAUUCAGCAUUUCCCGAGGGGCCCCCUGGACCAGCCCCUGCGUCGGGCUUUGGGGACUCAGAAACAACCACAAGCCCUCGUUGCUGGAUCCAGACACCAGUGCAAGAGAAAGACACACAAACCGAUGACAGAUAGACAUGAUGGAACAACGACCGACCAGGGAGGCCAGUCUCAGGAGAGCAGCUGACGUGAUUCAGGGCAAACCCGGACAGAAGCUUCCAUGAAGGCAGUGACCUUAGGCCCGCGUUCUUAAAGAAGAGACCCCUAAACCAGAGUCCACGGAUGGGACCCACUGAGUCCCAGAAACCAGAGGGAUCCUAUGCAGAAUGGUGGGAACACACAUCGUUCCCUGGGAGAGAGUGUGCAAUUUCUCAUGUGACGGUCGAAGGGGGUUUUAAGUCCCUCUCUCCCUGGAAGAGUUUAAGAGCCACUGUCUUAUUGGAUGAGGAGGCAUUUCUAGCUGCAGAACGUGGAGAAAGGCCUUCCCAGCAAAGGAAACAGCACGUGCAAAGUGUGUACCAUGGUCUCCUCUUGCCUCACACCCCUGAAAUGGCUAACGCUAAGUGGAAUGACCACAAUACCACAAGUCGGUAAAAAUAUGGAGCAGCUAGAACCUCAGGCACCGUUGGCGAGCAUGGAAGUUGACACAAGCACCUUAGAAACGGUUUGGCGGUUUCUGCUAGAGCUAAAAGCACGUUUACCCUAUGACCGGAUAUUCCACGCCUGGGCGUGCUCCGAGGAGAAAGGAAGCCUUAUAUCCCCCAACAGGCCUGUGGAAGAAUGUGUGCGCCGGCUUUAUUCAUAAUCACCCAGACUGGCAACUGCCCAAGUGACCAUUGACGGGAGAGCGGAUAAUUGGAUUGUGGUUUCUUUGUACACUGGAACACCGCACAGCCGUCGAAGCUUGACCGCCGCUACACAGAGCGACACGGACCCAUCUCCAAAACUCCAUGUUUGAGAGAAAGUCUAGACCCCAAACAGCAUGCACUGUGUGAUUCCAUUCAUAGGAAGUUCAAGAACAAGUGAAACUAAUGCGAGGUCCGAGAAGUCAGACGAGUGGCUGUCCUUGGGGAGGGCAGUGUUGGCUGGACGGGAGCACAGGACAGCUUUCUGGGGGUGUCCGGGAUGUCCCAAGUUCUGAUCCAGGUGGCAUAUGAACGUGUGUAAAAUAUUCAACACUAUUACACGUAAUGUUCAUGCAGCUUAUUAUAUGUGUUUUACCUCAAUUAAAAAUAUAAAUAAAAGAUAAU